CACGAAAGCGUGGGGAGCGAACUGGAUUAGAUACCCAGGUAGUCCACGCCGUAAACGAUGGAUACUAGCUGUUGGAGGUAUCGACCCCUUCAGUAGCGAAGCUAACGCGUUAAGUAUCCCGCCUGUGGAGUACGGCCGCAAGGCUAAAACAUAAAGGAAUUGACGGGGACCCGCACAAGCGGUGGAUCAUGUUCUUUAAUUCGAUGAUAAACGAAGAACCUUACCAGGGUUUGACAUCCCGAGAAGAUUUACGAAAGUAGAUUGUGCCUUUUGGAACUCGGUGACAGAUGAUGCAUGGCCGUCGUCAGCUCGUGUCGUGAGAUGUUUGGUUAAGUCCAUCAACGAGCGCAACCCUUGUGAAUAGUUGUAUUUUUCUAUUCAGACUGCCCCGGUAACGGGGAGGAAGGAGGGGAUGAUGUCAGGUCAGUAUUUCCCUUACGUCCUGGGCUAGAAACGUAAUACAAUGCCUAGUACAAUGCGCAGCGAANGCCGCGAGGUGAAGCAAAUCGCAUCAAAGCUAGUCCCAGUUCGGAUUGUAGGCUGAAACUCGCCUGCAUGAAGUCGGAAUCGCUAGUAAUCGCAAAUCAGCAAGUUGCGGUGAAUACGUUCCCGGGUCUUGUACACACCGCCCGUCAAACCAUGAAAGUGACCAACACCCGAAGUCCGAUUCGUCGGCCUAAGGUGGGGGGCAUGAUUGGGGUU
rnacentral:rRNA from 1 species